CUGGCGGCGUGCUUAACACAUGCAAGUCGAACGGAAAGGUCUCUUCGGAGAUACUCGAGUGGCGAACGGGUGAGUAACACGUGGGUGAUCUGCCCUGCACUUCGGGAUAAGCCUGGGAAACUGGGUCUAAUACCGGAUAGGACCACGGGAUGCAUGUCUUGUGGUGGAAAGCGCUUUAGCGGUGUGGGAUGAGCCCGCGGCCUAUCAGCUUGUUGGUGGGGUGACGGCCUACCAAGGCGACGACGGGUAGCCGGCCUGAGAGGGUGUCCGGCCACACUGGGACUGAGAUACGGCCCAGACUCCUACGGGAGGCAGCAGUGGGGAAUAUUGCACAAUGGGCGCAAGCCUGAUGCAGCGACGCCGCGUGGGGGAUGACGGCCUUCGGGUUGUAAACCUCUUUCACCAUCGACGAAGGUCCGGGUUCUCUCGGAUUGACGGUAGGUGGAGAAGAAGCACCGGCCAACUACGUGCCAGCAGCCGCGGUAAUACGUAGGGUGCGAGCGUUGUCCGGAAUUACUGGGCGUAAAGAGCUCGUAGGUGGUUUGUCGCGUUGUUCGUGAAAUCUCACGGCUUAACUGUGAGCGUGCGGGCGAUACGGGCAGACUAGAGUACUGCAGGGGAGACUGGAAUUCCUGGUGUAGCGGUGGAAUGCGCAGAUAUCAGGAGGAACACCGGUGGCGAAGGCGGGUCUCUGGGCAGUAACUGACGCUGAGGAGCGAAAGCGUGGGGAGCGAACAGGAUUAGAUACCCUGGUAGUCCACGCCGUAAACGGUGGGUACUAGGUGUGGGUUUCCUUCCUUGGGAUCCGUGCCGUAGCUAACGCAUUUAGUACCCCGCCUGGGGAGUACGGCCGCAAGGCUAAAACUCAAAGGAAUUGACGGGGGCCCGCACAAGCGGUGGAGCAUGUGGAUUAAUUCGAUGCAACGCGAAGAACCUUACCUGGGUUUGACAUGCACAUGACGCGUCUAGAGAUAGGCGUUCCCUCGUGGACUGUGUGCAGGUGGUGCAUGGCUGUCGUCAGCUCGUGUCAUGAGAUGUUGGGUUAAGUCCUGCCACGAG
rnacentral:rRNA from 1 species